UGGUGCUAAGUUUUUACAGUUGUCUUAGCCCCAGUGGUUCUCAAAGUGGGGUUCCUGGCUCAGCAGCAGCAUCCCCCUAGGAACUUCUUAGAAAUGCAAAGAAAACCAAGAAUAAAAUGUCACCUGACAACCUUGCCAGCUCAGCACAUCUGGAGGCACUAAAUGUCUGACUCAGGAAAUGUGCAUCAAACUGAUGGUCAUCCCAGCAAGAGUGAAGUGGCCUCUCCUGUGGUUUUGAUUUGCAUUUCUCUAAUGAGUAUGUUGAACAUCUUUUCAUGUCCUUGUUAGCCAUUUGCAUAUCUUCUUUGGAGAAAUGUCUGUUAAAGUAUUGUGCUCAUUUUUUCCCUUCAGUUGUUUGUCUUUUUGUUAUUGAGCUGUCAGAGUUCUUUAUAUAAUCUGGAUAGUAGACAUUUUUUGGAUAUAUGAUUUGAAAAUAUUUUCUCUCAUUCUAUAGGUAGUCUUUUCACUCCCUUGAUGCACAAAAGUUUUAAUUUGAUAAAAUACAAUUUAGUUUUUAUUUUGUUGCUUCUACUUUUUGUGUCAUAGCUAAGAAACAAUUGCCGAAUACGAGGUUAUGAAUAUUUCCCCCUAAGUUUUUUUCUAAGACUUUUAUAGUUUUAGCUUUUAUAUUUAUGUCUCAUAUCCAUUUUGAGGUAAGGGCUCAACUUUAUUUUUUUGCGUAUGGAUACCCCGUUGUCUCAGCAUCAUUUGUGGAAAACACUAUUCUUUCGCCAUUGAAUGCUUUUGGAACAUGAAUUGGUCAAAAGUUAAACAUGAAUUGGUCAAAGAUAAAUGGGCUGAUUUCUAGAUUCUCAGUUCUAUUCCAUUGAUCUAUAUGUC
rnacentral:lncRNA from 1 species